rnacentral:lncRNA from 1 species
GAUCUCUUCAGGAACUUCGCGUGGACUUCUCGUAGAGGCCAUUCGUGUGCGUGGCUGCGAAGUCGAGGAUCAGAUCCACAAGUUUCAUCCAUCAUAAAAGGUAUUAAUCCUACAUUAAUUUUUUAUUAUGGUGUCAAGAUCUAGGUCUGAUUUUUCGAGGUUUUACCCUCUUUUGGGGCUCCUCACGGAGAUAUCUCCAGAAUCCAUUCAAUGGAUAUUCGGAGAUUAAUCGGAAUAGAGUUCUUAAGUUUCAGAUCUGAUAGUUAAUCAUGCAUGAAAGUUUUAGCAUAAUUGUUUAAACGAUUCCGGCAUAAUCCUAUGUGUUCUUAAGGUGCUGAUUUCUAGAUUUGAUCUUGUAAGCAUGCAUGAAUUAAAUUGUUUGAUUCGAUUUUU